GGGCGGGCCAGAGGGCUCCCUCCUGACUAGCUGCAUGUCCGGUUUGCGGGCGCUUCUGGGGCUCGGGCUGCUGGUUGCAGGCUCGCGCCUGUCGCGCGUCAGAGUCCAGGCCGGCUCCUGUCGCGCGGGACCCACCUGGUGGAUGCCGCAGCGGCUGAUCUCGGGUGGCCGCGGGGACUCAGAAGUCAUGGCGAGUUCAGCAGUGAAGUACCUGAGCCAGGAGGAGGCCCAAGCCGUGGACCAGGAGCUGUUUAAUGAGUACCAGUUCAGCGUGGACCAACUUAUGGAGCUGGCCGGUCUGAGCUGUGCCACAGCCAUUGCCAAGGCGUAUCCCCCCACGUCCUUGUCCCGGAGCCCCCCUACCGUCCUGGUCAUCUGUGGCCCUGGGAAUAAUGGAGGAGAUGGGCUGGUCUGUGCUCGACACCUCAAACUCUUUGGCUACCAGCCAACCAUCUAUUACCCUAAAAGGCCUAACAAGCCACUUUUCACUGCACUGGUGACGCAGUGCCAGAAAAUGGACAUCCCCUUCCUUGGUGAAAUGCCCCCAGAGCCGAUGCUGAUUGAUGAACUGUAUGAGCUGGUGGUGGAUGCCAUCUUUGGCUUCAGCUUCACGGGUGAGGUUCGGGAGCCAUUCCGCAGCAUCCUGAGCGUUCUGAAUGGACUCACUGUGCCCAUUGCCAGCAUCGACAUUCCCUCAGGAUGGGAUGUGGAGAAGGGAAGCUCUGGAGGGAUCCAGCCAGACUUGCUCAUCUCCCUGACAGCACCCAAAAAGUCUGCAACCCAGUUUACUGGUCGUUACCACUACCUGGGGGGUCGCUUCGUGCCACCUGCUCUGGAAAAGAAGUACCAGCUGAACCUACCACCCUACCCUGACACCGAAUGUGUCUAUCGUCUGCAGUGAGAGAAGGUGGGGGGGCAUUCUUUUCAAUAAAGACUUAGUGCCUCUCCCCCAGAACUGUGGAGUCCUGGGAGCUCUUCUGACAAGAACAGUUAAGACAUGGCAUAGCCAGAGAGCAACACUGGAGAGGUGGUGCACUCUCUCUGGGGGAACAAUAUGCAAGAGAGGUUUCUAUGGCAUUUGGGGGCAAUGACAGUUGACUUUCAGAUGCUGAAAAAGGCUCCCAGCAUAGAAAGACUACCAGACGUUAACAGAAGGAAUUUCUUCAGAGGCCUCUGAGGAACUAAUUUGUAUUCAGGACCUUCCCAGGCUGAGAAUGGAGAUGAUAGUCACAACUUAUCUACAGGCUGGAAGACCAAGCUGAUAUUUAUUCAAUUUAGUAUAGUUAGAAACUGGCAACCUAUGGGCGGAAUCUGCAUGUUUUUCUUAGCCUUCAAAAUAAAAAAUCAGUAUAUUUUCCAUA